rnacentral:rRNA from 1 species
AACGAACGCUGGCGGCAGGCCUAACACAUGCAAGUCGAGCGCCCAGCAAUGGGAGCGGCAGACGGGUGAGUAACGCGUGGGAACCUUCCCAAUGGUACGGAAUAGCUCAGGGAAACUUGAGGUAAUACCGCAUAAGCCCGAAAGGGGAAAGAUUUAUCGCCAUUGGAUGGGCCCGCGUAGGAUUAGCUAGUUGGUGAGGUGAUGGCUCACCAAGGCGACGAUCCUUAGCUGGUGAGAGAAUGACCAGCCACACUGGGACUGAGACACGGCCCAGACUCCUACGGGAGGCAGCAGUGGGGAAUCUUGGACAAUGGGCGAAAGCCUGAUCCAGCCAUGCCGCGUGAGUGACGAAGGUCUUCGGAUUGUAAAGCUCUUUUGCCAGGGACGAUAAUGACGGUACCUGGAGAAUAGCCCCGGCUAACUUCGUGCCAGCAGCCGCCGUAU